GAUGAACGCUGGCGGCGUGCCUAAUACAUGCAAGUCGAGCGAACAGACGAGGAGCUUGCUCCUCUGACGUUAGCGGCGGACGGGUGAGUAACACGUGGAUAACCUACCUAUAAGACUGGGAUAACUUCGGGAAACCGGAGCUAAUACCGGAUAAUAUAUUGAACCGCAUGGUUCAAUAGUGAAAGACGGUUUUGCUGUCACUUAUAGAUGGAUCCGCGCCGCAUUAGCUAGUUGGUAAGGUAACGGCUUACCAAGGCAACGAUGCGUAGCCGACCUGAGAGGGUGAUCGGCCACACUGGAACUGAGACACGGUCCAGACUCCUACGGGAGGCAGCAGUAGGGAAUCUUCCGCAAUGGGCGAAAGCUUGACGGAGCAACGCCGCGUGAGUGAUGAAGGUCUUCGGAUCGUAAAACUCUGUUAUUAGGGAAGAACAAAUGUGUAAGUAACUAUGCACGUCUUGACGGUACCUACUCAGAAAGCCACGGCUAACUACGUG
rnacentral:rRNA from 1 species